UGGGAUGUAGCUCAGUGGUAGAGCGCUCGCUUUGCAUGCGAGAGGCCCCGGGUUCGCUCCCCGGCAUCUCCA
rnacentral:tRNA from 1 species